UAAGCAUAUCAAUAAGCGGAGGAAAAGAAACCAACAGGGAUUGCCCCAGUAACGGCGAGUGAAGCGGCAAAAGCUCAAAUUUGAAAUCCUCAGGGAAUUGUAAUUUGAAGAUGUUUGGGUCAAGGCUAGCAGAGGUUAAGUCCACUGGAACGUGGCGCCACAGAGGGUGACAGCCCCGUGAACCUCCUAAAGCCCCUUAUCCCUCUCAUCCAAGAGUCGAGUUGUUUGGGAAUGCAGCUCUAAGUGGGUGGUAAAUUCCAUCUAAAGCUAAAUACCGGCGAGAGACCGAUAGCGAACAAGUACAGUGAUGGAAAGAUGAAAAGCACUUUGAAAAGAGAGUGAAAAAGUACGUGAAAUUGUUGAAAGGGAAGGGCUUGCAAGCAGACACUUAAUUGGGCCAGCAUCGGGGCGGCAGGGAGAAAACCUCCCGGGAAAUGUACCUCUCGAGUGUUAUAGUCCCGGGCAUCCUCUCCCAUUCUGCCCCGAGGCCUGCGUAUCUAGGAUGCUGGCGUAAUGGUUGCAAGUCGCCCGUCUUGAAACACGGACCAAGGAGUCUAACGUCUAUGCGAGUGUUUGGGCGCCAAACCCAUACGCGCAAUGAAAGUAACCGGAGCGAACCGUUUGGUGCAGCUCCAGCCACACCAAGGCCUAAACCCUGGUGUGAGCAAGCAUGGCUGUUGGGACCCGAAAGAUGGUGAACUAUACCUGGAUAGGGUGAAGCCAGAGGAAACUCUGGUGGAGGCUCGUAGCGGUUCUGACGUGCAAAUCGAUCGUCGAAUCUGGGUAUAGGGGCGAAAGACUAAUCGAACCAUCUAGUAGCUGGUUCCUGCCGAAGU
rnacentral:rRNA from 1 species